ensembl:snoRNA
AGCAUUUGUGUGGGGAUGUUUUUGUUUUCGUUAAACUUGUAGACAGAGAGUCUAGACAGGUGCACACAAUAAAUUCUUUUUUUAAUCCAGAACUCAUUGUUCAGUAUGAGUUUUGAUUCAUAUGAGAAAGAAUAUG